rnacentral:rRNA from 1 species
GGUUAAGCGACUAAGCGUACACGGUGGAUGCCCUGGCAGUCAGAGGCGAUGAAGGGCGUGCUAAUCUGCGAUAAGCGCCGGUAAGGUGAUAUGAACCGUUAUAACCGGCGAUACCCGAAUGGGGAAACCCAGUGUGAUUCGUCACACUAUCAUUAACUGAAUCCAUAGGUUAAUGAGGCGAACCGGGGGAACUGAAACAUCUAAGUACCCCGAGGAAAAGAAAUCAACCGAGAUUCCCCCAGUAGCGGCGAGCGAACGGGGAGGAGCCCAGAGCCUGAAUCAGCAUGUGUGUUAGUGGAAGCGUCUGGAAAGGCGCGCGAUACAGGGUGACAGCCCCGUACACAAAAGCGCAUGUGCUGUGAGCUCGAUGAGUAGGGCGGGACACGUGGUAUCCUGUCUGAAUAUGGGGGGACCAUCCUCCAAGGCUAAAUACUCCUGACUGACCGAUAGUGAACCAGUACCGUGAGGGAAAGGCGAAAAGAACCCCGGCGAGGGGAGUGAAAAAGAACCUGAAACCGUGUACGUACAAGCAGUGGGAGCACCUUCGGGUGUGACUGCGUACCUUUUGUAUAAUGGGUCAGCGACUUAUAUUCUGUAGCAAGGUUAACCGUAUAGGGGAGCCGGAGGGAAACCGAGUCUUAAUUGGGCGUUAAGUUGCAGGGUAUAGACCCGAAACCCGGUGAUCUAGCCAUGGGCAGGUUGAAGGUUGGGUAACACUAACUGGAGGACCGAACCGACUAAUGUUGAAAAAUUAGCGGAUGACCUGUGGCUGGGGGUGAAAGGCCAAUCAAACCGGGAGAUAGCUGGUUCUCCCCGAAAGCUAUUUAGGUAGCGCCUCGUGAAUUCAUCUCCGGGGGUAGAGCACUGUUUCGGCUAGGGGGCCAUCCCGGCUUACCAACCCGAUGCAAACUGCGAAUACCGGAGAAUGUUAUCACGGGAGACACACGGCGGGUGCUAACGUCCGUCGUGAAGAGGGAAACAACCCAGACCGCCAGCUAAGGUCCCAAAGUCAUGGUUAAGUGGGAAACGAUGUGGGAAGGCCCAGACAGCCAGGAUGUUGGCUUAGAAGCAGCCAUCAUUUAAAGAAAGCGUAAUAGCUCACUGGUCGAGUCGGCCUGCGCGGAAGAUGUAACGGGGCUAAACCAUGCACCGAAGCUGCGGCAGCGACGCUUAUGCGUUGUUGGGUAGGGGAGCGUUCUGUAAGCCUGCGAAGGUGGCCUGUGAGGGUUGCUGGAGGUAUCAGAAGUGCGAAUGCUGACAUAAGUAACGAUAAAGCGGGUGAAAAGCCCGCUCGCCGGAAGACCAAGGGUUCCUGUCCAACGUUAAUCGGGGCAGGGUGAGUCGACCCCUAAGGCGAGGCCGAAAGGCGUAGUCGAUGGGAAACGGGUUAAUAUUCCCGUACUUGGUGUUACUGCGAAGGGGGGACGGAGAAGGCUAUGUUGGCCGGGCGACGGUUGUCCCGGUUUAAGCGUGUAGGUGUGUGUUCCAGGUAAAUCCGGUUCACUUUAACACUGAGGCGUGACGACGAGGCACUACGGUGCUGAAGCAACAAAUGCCCUGCUUCCAGGAAAAGCCUCUAAGCAUCAGGUAACAUCAAAUCGUACCCCAAACCGACACAGGUGGUCAGGUAGAGAAUACCAAGGCGCUUGAGAGAACUCGGGUGAAGGAACUAGGCAAAAUGGUGCCGUAACUUCGGGAGAAGGCACGCUGACACGUAGGUGAAGUGAUUUACUCAUGGAGCUGAAGUCAGUCGAAGAUACCAGCUGGCUGCAACUGUUUAUUAAAAACACAGCACUGUGCAAACACGAAAGUGGACGUAUACGGUGUGACGCCUGCCCGGUGCCGGAAGGUUAAUUGAUGGGGUCAGCGCAAGCGAAGCUCCUGAUCGAAGCCCCGGUAAACGGCGGCCGUAACUAUAACGGUCCUAAGGUAGCGAAAUUCCUUGUCGGGUAAGUUCCGACCUGCACGAAUGGCGUAACGAUGGCCAGGCUGUCUCCACCCGAGACUCAGUGAAAUUGAACUCGCUGUGAAGAUGCAGUGUACCCGCGGCAAGACGGAAAGACCCC